rnacentral:rRNA from 1 species
UACAGAGGUCUCAAGCGUUGUUCGGAUUCAUUGGGCGUAAAGGGUGCGUAGGCGGCGCGGUAAGUCGGGUGUGAAAUCUCGGAGCUUAACUCCGAAACUGCAUUCGAUACUGCCGUGCUUGAGGACUGGAGAGGAGACUGGAAUUUACGGUGUAGCGGUGAAAUGCGUAGAUAUCGUAAGGAAGACCAGUGGCGAAGGCGGCUUUCUGGGCCUUACCUGACGCUGGAGGAGCGAAAAGCUGGGGGGAGCAAACAGG